AGCUCCCUUCAAGACCUUCUUCUUGCUUCCAAAUGUUCUUCAAGGUUGUAUCCUCAGCUACAAGCUCUUCAGGUUCAGGUUCAUGCUUCCAGUCCUUGGUGCUUUCCAUGAUCACAUCAUCCCCUCCCACUUCAAAGAGAUUUGUCCUCAAAUCUGUGUUACCUGCAAUAGAAGGGACCAAGUCAGUAACAUCAUAGUUUAUAAUCAGAUUACACUUACCUUGCAAGCCUCUUUGACAGGCAUUGUCGCUGACUGGUUCUAUUAGGUAGAAGGGACUGAUCCAUUUGGAUUUCUUCACUCCUGAGGCAUUACUUAAACCUGAUACAUUGAAACAAGACAAGUUAACACAAGUAAAAUCAUCAUAGAGUAAGAGUCUUAUCCCAAAAUUGUCUUUUCUCGGUUUUGGCUUGUAUGCUGCAU
rnacentral:lncRNA from 1 species